AGACCCGAAACCCGGUGAUCUAGCCAUGGGCAGGUUGAAGGUUGGGUAACACUAACUGGAGGACCGAACCGACUAAUGUUGAAAAAUUAGCGGAUGACCUGUGGCUGGGGGUGAAAGGCCAAUCAAACCGGGAGAUAGCUGGUUCUCCCCGAAAGCUAUUUAGGUAGCGCCUCGUGAAUUCAUCUCCGGGGGUAGAGCACUGUUUCGGCUAGGGGGCCAUCCCGGCUUACCAACCCGAUGCAAACUGCGAAUACCGGAGAAUGUUAUCACGGGAGACACACGGCGGGUGCUAACGUCCGUCGUGAAGAGGGAAACAACCCAGACCGCCAGCUAAGGUCCCAAAGUCAUGGUUAAGUGGGAAACGAUGUGGGAAGGCCCAGACAGCCAGGAUGUUGGCUUAGAAGCAGCCAUCAUUUAAAGAAAGCGUAAUAGCUCACUGGUCGAGUCGGCCUGCGCGGAAGAUGUAACGGGGCUAAACCAUGCACCGAAGCUGCGGCAGCGAACGUAUCACUUAAAGCGAUUCAGCGGGUUACGAUUGACGGAGCGAAGCGACGUCAAAGCGUAUACAAAGUCGAGUCGGUUUAAGGAUACGUUCGUUGGGUAGGGGAGCGUUCUGUAAGCCCGUGAAGGUGGCCUGUGAGGGUUGCUGGAGGUAUCAGAAGUGCGAAUGCUGACAUAAGUAACGAUAAAGCGGGUGAAAAGCCCGCUCGCCGGAAGACCAAGGGUUCCUGUCCAACGUUAAUCGGGGCAGGGUGAGUCGACCCCUAAGGCGAGGCCGAAAGGCGUAGUCGAUGGGAAACGGGUUAAUAUUCCCGUACUUGGUGUUACUGCGAAGGGGGGACGGAGAAGGCUAUGUUGGCCGGGCGACGGUUGUCCCGGUUUAAGCGUGUAGGUGUGUGUUCCAGGUAAAUCCGGUUCACUUUAACACUGAGGCGUGACGACGAGGCACUACGGUGCUGAAGCAACAAAUGCCCUGCUUCCAGGAAAAGCCUCUAAGCAUCAGGUAACAUCAAAUCGUACCCCAAACCGACACAGGUGGUCAGG
rnacentral:rRNA from 1 species